rnacentral:lncRNA from 1 species
CCGCCCCCGCCAGAGGCAGAAGCGGCCGCCGCCGCCUAGGUCCCCUUAACCUCGGAGGAGAAACAGCUGCCCAAUGAAAUUGAUGCAGCUUGCCCUCUUAAAAGACCUGAAUGGGAUUUUACCACUGAAGCAGUUUAAAUAUGUCUUAAACAGGUUUCUGCUUCUGACAGACAUCUGAGUACCAGUUGCUGACUUCAGACUGUUCUAAGUAGACUGCGAACCCUAGACUUGCUAUGGAUGUGAACCAUCCAGCUGAUAUGGACACCCCCUGUCUCUGCAACAGUGUCUGCUAACCAGAAGCCCCUGAUGGAUUCCCCAUUGCCUAAAUUCCUUUUUGCUUUUGACUAGCAUUUCAACCUUCUGGGGUCCCUAACUUCGUCCCAAAGUCAGCAGGAAGCAGUUUGAAAAAGAAUUUCGGCGCCCAUUUUCCCUGGUUAAAAUGCUAAGUCAAAAGAAUU